GAGUGAGGGAGGGGGUGACUAGUGACAGAGUGAGGAAGGGAGUGGGUGACUAGUGACAGAGUGAGGGAUGGGGUGACUAGUGACAGUCACCACCUCCUUCUCUCUGUCACUGUGUCACCCCCUUCCUCACUCUCACUGUCACCCCUUUCCUCACUCUGUCACUAGUCACCCACUCCCUUCCUCACUCUGUCACUAGUCACCCACUCUCUCACUCUGUCACCAGUCAUCCCUUCCUUCCCUCACUC